rnacentral:rRNA from 1 species
GAGUUUGAUCCUGGCUCAGGAUGAACGCUAGCGAUAGGCUUAACACAUGCAAGUCGAGGGGCAGCACGUAUUCAGCUUGCUGAAUAUGGUGGCGACCGGCGGAUGGGUGCGUAACGCGUAUGCAACUUACCUGUCAGAGGGGGAUAACCCGGAGAAAUUCGGACUAAUACCGCAUACACUUGAGAUACUGCAUGGUAUUUCAAGGAAAUAUUUAUAGCUGACAGAUAGGCAUGCGUUCCAUUAGCUGGUAGGUGAGGUAACGGCUCACCUAGGCGACGAUGGAUAGGGGAACUGAGAGGUUAAACCCCCACACUGGUACUGAGACACGGACCAGACUCCUACGGGAGGCAGCAGUGAGGAAUAUUGGUCAAUGGGCGAGAGCCUGAACCAGCCAAUUCGCGUGAAGGAUGACUGCCCUAUGGGUUGUAAACUUCUUUAGUAGGGGAUUAAAGUUUGCCUUGCGAGGCAAUUGCAAGUACCCUAAGAAUAAGAUCGUAUUC